CUGUCCCUGCCUAUACUCCCUUGGCCCUCUUGGAGCUCACCGGCAGAGAAGUUCCUUUACCUACUAGAUGCUUCCUGCAUCUCUCUGCCCUAGGGUGUUUUCCGGCUACCGAAGUGUGUUCUGUCAGAACACAGAGCAGGCUGGAAGCACUAAGGAGUUAAUGCGUCCAGAAGCAACCCUCAGCCACUGAUCUUCAGAAAGGGAUUUGGCGUGAUGGUACAGCUGGGACCCUGGAACCUCUGCUUCCUCAGUUUAGGUAAUUGGUGCAGCAGGGAAGGUGUUAUUGGACCAACGGGAAGACACUCCUUCCCGGAAAUCUCCAGCAACUUUCAAGUGUGCUUAGCCACAAGGGAUGAUGGGAAAUGAGUCUAUGGCAUUUCAAGCCUCCAUCGUGGAAGCAGGCUCCGCCCAUAGGACGCAGGGGAUAAAACUGGCUGUGGGUAGACAACUGAACAGUAUCUACUCCACAGCAGCUCCUGUGGCUGGAUAAAGCCAGGGCGAUUCUUUGGAUGUCAAUCAUUUUGAAGGGUGACUUUCUUGCAUGACUUGGUAAGAUCUGAAAGGAGGAUAACCACAAUGGAGAGGCUGUGGUGAGGCGUCCACAGGCAGCUGGCAGUCUUGAGCAUCCAAAUGUAAUUGCUCUGUUUGAUUCACCACAGCCUGCACGCUGUGUUCAUCAGACUGCCCAGCAGAACAGAAGCUUGAUGAAAACAUCGUGAAGUUACCUCUGAAAGUACACCUUUGAUGACAUGAUGUGACACUGAAUGCCUUCUCCUGUCCUUAAUGAAAUGGAAGUGAAUCAGAACAAACCUCUGCCUCUCGGAGCAUUGCCCACACCAACCUGUUAGAGCGCAGCAUGGAGAUGCUCCUGUUAGUCAAGG
rnacentral:lncRNA from 1 species